rnacentral:miRNA from 1 species
CUCGGGCCCGACCGCGCCGGCCCCCGCACCUCCCAGCCCUGGGCUGCGGGCUGUGGUCGGGGCGGUCCCAGG